ACUAAGCAUGCAGCGCCUAACUUUGGUUUUUGGACUCUUGGCUAUAGUCAUCGGUAGUCAAGGUUUCUCUGGCUUUGGACCGUCUCCCCCUACACCUCCGUCAGAUCAUGGCUUUGGAGACUUCUCAAGAUGUCCUAAAGCUUGCAUUGGUCCUUCCGGAAGGCCUGGACCUACAGGGUUACCCGGUGAGCAAGGUCCGAAAGGUGAAAAGGGAGAUCAAGGGGAAAAGGGGGAAAAAGGACAUCCAGGAGAUCCGGGUCCCCAAGGAGAAAAGGGGGAAAAGGGCGACAUGGGGGAAAAAGGACAUCCUGGUCAAGAUGGGGCGCCUGGGAUGAAAGGAGACAAAGGCGAUAAAGGAGACAAAGGUCAUAAGGGGGAACGUGGUCCGCAAGGGGUGGCGGGGGAAACAGGACCCAGUGGACCAAGAGGCCAAAGGGGAAUCCCAGGUCAAGAUGGCGAAGACGGGCAUCCUGGAUCAAGGGGACCAAAAGGACAAAAGGGCGAUCCUGGAUCUCCCGGAGAUUCCGGACAUCCGGGAUUAGACGGUCACCCUGGUCCAAGGGGGAUCCCCGGAAGACCCGGAAAUUGUGUUGGAACUUGUGAUAGUCAUGGCUUUUUGGAAUUGGAAUCAAGAGUCCGGAAUUUAGAAAGUGCACUUCAUUUCGGAAGUUUCUUUCCUGGUAACGAGCAUCAAGGAGAUACCGGUGGUUUCUUACACAAGAUUUUUGGGUCUCGUGGGGCCUUUGAUGACAGUUUCUUUGACGAAUACCGUGGCGGCGACCGUGGUCACGGUGGUAACGGCGACGGUGGUCACGGUGGCAACGGCGACGGUGGUCACGGUGGUAACGGCGACGGUAGUCACGGUGGUAACGGCGACGGUGGUCACGGUGGUAACGGCGACGGUGGUCACGGUGGUAACGGUGGUGCCGGGGGCAACGGUGGUGCCGGCGGCGACAGCUAACCUGAUGGACCUGGUCGUUGAGACAGUGCUGGUUGUAUAAAUUGAUAUUAAAAUAUAAUUUUCAAC
rnacentral:sRNA from 1 species